UACGCUCACGACUUUGCCCAACCCCUGCUCCAUCAGAGGAAAUUCAAAUCACCAGAGUUAAGAAGCCAAGCUGGCUUUCUGUGUGUCUUGCCAUCCACAAGGAGGGGGCCAGAAGAGGGGGGACACGGUGUUGAAACGAGGGUCCCCCAGGAUGUGUGAGGAGGAAGAGAGAGAAAGGAAGGACUAACACUCUAUCAGCAGAAAAAAAAACCCACAGUCGUGAACCUAGAGGAGAAGAAAUCUGAGAGGAACAACACGAAAUAAGACCAGAGCUGUGUAAUGUUCCUCAUUUGUUCCUUGAAAGAAGAAAAGAAAGAGGAGGAGGAAAGGAGGAGAAAGGGAGGGGGGUGAACCGAAGCACACCAUGUCCCAUCUACUGGCCAAGCUUGUGUGACGAGAAACACAGAGGAGAACAAAAGACCCAGAGCUCCAGCCAUUGUUGUGGUGGAACAGGAACUAGUGUGAGAGCAGAAACACCAGAAGAGCACUCGUCGUGGAAACGGAACGUUUGAGAAGAUACAUCAAGCUCCAAACGUUCCCCAACACAAGAAAAGAUCAACAGACACAAAGUUCUCAUAUCAUCACAUAUAGAUGAAUUUCUCCUGGUUUUAUUGAAAUGUAGUUGCAUAAAAAUGACCAGAAUCUCCAAAAUCUUUAAUCCAAAUUUCAGAAAUGUUGUGGAAAAUAACGAUAUGCUGGGACAUCUUCUCUAGGUUGAGCAGAUCUGUUCUAUAGAGGACACACAUGAUCUUCUACUGUUGCCAAGACAAUAUAAGUACAUUCUGUGUCUGAAGUGAUGUCCCUGAAAAAUUAUAUUCAACAUUUUGUAUAUUAGAUUUCAUGGAGAAAACAGGCCUGCACCAAUAAAAUAAAAACUAAAGAGUUGACCAUUAGCACCGCCGUUUCUCAGUUGUCUGGAGAUCUUUUUUUCUCUGUUGCAGCACACCCAACUUCCUGUUUUUAUUUAUUUUUUAAGUUUAAAUGUUAAAUGAUCAUCACCUUCAGGAACACUUCAGCUAAUGAGCAGCAGCUAUUUCUGUGUGACAGAUGCUGAAGACCGGGGUAAACAGAGGAAAUGAAAGUUGAAUCUGUGCAAAGUUUAGGUGAAGUGUGGCGGUAUCUCACACUGAUUGUUUCUAGUUACAACUCCAGCCCUUCUUUUCAUGAAAAACAACUUCCUGUCUGGGUCGUUUGUAAACCGCUCACUGCAGUUCCUGAGACAAUCAUGUACCUGGGCUGAGGACAGUGAGUUUAUCCUUCAGAUCCAUUCUUCUUUCACCAAAUGUGCUGGAUACUCCUAAAAUCCAGUUCAUAAGCUUAUAAGCCCCAGAUGUAACCAAACAGGCCCAGUUUUUCUCAUUUCAAAAUAAAAAAAGGAGGGUCAUGGCUACUGUUUACAGUCAGCGCUGGCAUUUGCAAUUUGACUACGGCUGGCCAAAAGCUCCAGUUAUUUAAAGAACCAAAACCAGUAGGAGCAACCCAGAAAUUAUUUCUUGUACUUCCAAGAAGCCACUGCAUCUUUUUUUACUCUAAUAUCGGGUAAAGAAGGCUAAAGGCUAACGUUGAGGUAGCAAUGCUAACU